rnacentral:rRNA from 1 species
GACGAACGCUGGCGGCGUGCUUAACACAUGCAAGUCGAACGGAAAGGCCCUGCUUUUGUGGGGUGCUCGAGUGGCGAACGGGUGAGUAACACGUGAGUAACCUGCCCUUGACUUUGGGAUAACUUCAGGAAACUGGGGCUAAUACCGGAUAGGAGCUCCGCUGCAUGGGGGGGGGUGGAAAGUUUCGGCGGUUGGGGAUGGACUCGCGGCUUAUCAGCUUGUUGGUGGGGUAGGGGCUUACCAAGGCUUUGACGGGUAGCCGGCCUGAGAGGGUGACCGGCCACAUGGGGACUGAGAUACGGCCCAGACUCCUACGGGAGGCAGCAGUGGGGAAUAUUGCACAAUGGGCGGAAGCCUGAUGCAGCAACGCCGCGUGCGGGAUGACGGCCUUCGGGUUGUAAACCGCUUUCGCCUGUGACGAAGCGUGAGUGACGGUAAUGGGUAAAGAAGCACCGGCUAACUACGUG